CACAUGACCCGGGAACUGCACUGGCC
rnacentral:piRNA from 1 species